rnacentral:lncRNA from 1 species
ACCCUCCCCCCAUUGCCGCCCUCCCCCCAACAGUCUAGUUCACUGGGGGUUCAGUCUUAGCAGGACAACAGAAGAAUCUUAAAUGGCCAACAAACACUUAAAAGAAUGUUCAAAGAAAGUCCUUACUCAUCAGAGAAAUACAAUCAAAAUGACCUUGAGAUUCCACCUUAUACCAAUCACAAUGACUAAGAUCAAAAACUUAAGUGACAGCACAUGCUGGCAAAGAUGUAGAAAAAGAGGAACACUCUUCCAUUGCUGGUAUGGUUGCACUCUGGAAAUCAAUCUGGCAGUUCCUCAGGAAUUUAGAAAUAGUUCUAUCCGAAGACCCAGCUAUACCACUCUUGGGCAUAUACCCCCAAAACAUCCUACUAUACCACAAGGACACAUGUUCCACCAUGUUCAUAGCUGCCUAAUUUGUAAUAGCCAGAAACUGGAAACAACCCAGAUGUCCCUCAACUGAAGAAUGGAUACAGAAAAUGUGGUUCAUUUACACAAUGGAAUACUAUUCAGCUAUUAAAAAUGAA